rnacentral:rRNA from 1 species
GACGAACCGUGCGAACGUUGUUCGGAAUCACUGGGCUUAAAGGGCGCGUAGGCGGCUUGCCAAGUCAGGGGUGAAAUCUUUCGGCUUAACCGGAAAAGUGCCUUUGAUACUGGCAGGCUAGUGGGAGGUAGGGGCAUGCGGAACUUCCGGUGGAGCGGUGAAAUGCGUUGAUAUCGGAAGGAACGCCGGUGGCGAAAGCGGCGUGCUGGACCUCUUCUGACGCUGAGGCGCGAAAGCUAGGGGAGCAAACGGG